GCUUUAAGAUGAGCUUACGAAGGAUUAGGUAGUUGGUACGGGUAAAAGCCUACCAAGCCGACGAUCCUUAGCUGGUCUGAGAGGACGGUCAGCCACACUGGAACUGAGACAAGGUCCAGGCUUAAAGCCAGCAGUGAGGAAUCUUGGACAAUGAGCGAAAGCUUGAUCCAGUAAUACUGCGUGAAUGAGGAAAGCAAAAAAGAUUUAUUAGAUUAAUUUCUUAUAAAUCGGUUGUAAAAUUCUUUCACUGAUGAGGAUAAUGACUGUAAUCAGAGAAGAAGCCCCGGCUAACUUCGUGCCAGCAGCCGCGGUAAUACGAAGGGGGCGAGCGUUAUUCGGAAUGAUUGGGCGUAAAGAGUUCGUAGGCUGUAAUUGUGGUUAUUAGUAAAAUACUAAGUUUAUUGCUUAGAAAUGCUUAUAAAACUCUUUUACUUGAGUGUGAUAGAGGAUAACAGAAUUUCAUGCAUAGGAGUAAAAUCCGAUAAUUCAUGAAGGAAUGUCAGUGGCGAAGGCGGUUAUCUGGAUCAUUACUGACGCUGAGGAACGAAAGCGUGGGGAGCAAACAGGAUUAGAUACCCUGGUAGUCCACGCUGUCAAAGAU
rnacentral:rRNA from 1 species